CAGGAGAGUCGCUUGAACCUGGAAGGUGGAGGUUGCAGUGAGCUGAGAUCAUGCCACUGCACUCCAGCCUCGCAACAGAGCGAGACUCCAUCUCAAAAAAAAGCAUUCUCCAUUUUUCAUUCAUCUCAUAAUUGAGGUUGGAUUGGGAGACUGAGGCAUGAACAGGAUGUGAAGGAAUGGAGAUGUGGGUGUAGGUGGUGUUAUUGAGUAGUGUGGGAGAGAAUGAGGGAGAGUUGAAGAGGGCACCCGGGAUUGAGAAAUGCCUUGUGGGGUGAUGUUGUAGCCUCUGGUCAAGAAGCCAGUGUCCAGGGAGAGGCUGUAUAUAUCAGAAAGGGAGGACAAUGUGAGCCCCACGGAUGAGCGAGCAGGGGCAGGUCCUUAGGGAGUGCUUCUAUGAAUUUGGCAUCCUGGGUGAAUUUGGCAACAGAUGGGUAAAAACCCAGAGGCUGACAGAGGAGAUGGGAUCUCAUGUGAAGCUCAGCCCUGGAGAAGUAUCUGGAACUCUGAGCUUGGUGGGGGCGCAGAGUGGGGUGGGAACGAGAGAGCAUGGAGGCUGGGGACGGGAACGGGGCGUGGGCUCCUAUGGCCUCUGUGUCUCCAUGGAGUGAGCUGAGUGGUCGUCUGCUGAGAUGAGUGUAGUGGGAAAGAGACUGGGACUCCAAGGAGAGAGCUUAAGCUCCAGCUCUUGGGCGUGCCCUGCAGAGUCUGCCUGAUGCUGGAAAGGAGGACAAGGAGAGGUGGUGCAGUGCUGAGGGAUAGGGCCCCUGAUGGGGCAAGCCGAGGCUCCCUGGGAAUGUGCAAAGGGGAAUUUUAUCCAAUUUGGAGGCUGAGCAGUAAGUUUUUCUGAAGGAUGUGUCACUUAAGGUACAAUUUGAAGAAAGAAGAGGGGUGAGCCUGGCAAAGUUUUUACUGGAAGGAGGUCUUGAUCCAGACCCCAAGAGAGUGUUCUUGGAUCUUGUGCACAAAAGAAUUCAGGGUGAGUCCAUAAAGUUUAUCAAAGGAGUUUAUUAAGAAAGUAAAGGAAUGAGAGUAGUUACUCCAUAGGCAGAGGUGUGGCAUGGGCUGCUGGACGGAGUAUAUUCAUGGUUACUUAUUGAUCAUAUGCAAAACCGGGGGGGGUUGUUCAUGAGUUUUCUGGGAAAGUGAUUUCCUGGAACUGAGGGUCCCUCCCCUUUUUAGACUACAUAGGGUAACUUCUGGACAUCGCAUGGCAUCUGUAAACUGUCAUGAUGCUGGUGGGAGUGCCUUUUAGCAUACUAAUGCAUUAUAAUUAGCAAAUAAGUAGCAGUGAGGAUGAUCAGAGGUGACUUUCAUCACCAUCUUGGUCUUGGUGGGUUUUGGCUGGCCUCUUUACUGCAUCCUGUUUUAUUGGCAUGGUCUUUGUGACCUGUAUCUUGUGAUGCCAGUCCUGCCAACCUCCUAUCUCAUCCUGUGACUGAGAAGGCCUAACCUCCUGAAUGCAGCCCCUAUUCAAGAUGGAGUCACUCUGGUUCAAAUGCCUCUGACAAAGUGAGGAAGGCAUUCCAGGCAGUCAACAGCAGGCAUGAUACUCCAGAGUGAGAGAAACUCAAGUGUCCUGGGGUGCAGUCAUGAUUAACCUUCAACAAGGAGAGGUUUGGCCCUUAUCCCCAGCUCCCAGGAGGCAACCUCUAAGCCCUUGGAAUUGCCUCCCUGAUAAGAGUGCGUUUAUUUACCUGGGGGCCUUGGGCCCCACCAGAUAGUCUCUGCUAACAAUGUGACCUAUGGGGGGCCCUUGGACCAAGUGGUAUCAGCUUGACCUCUGCAGGGGCUGGAAACCAGGAUCAGCCAACUGGGCGGCCAGCCAUGUCUGGGUGACCAGCCCCUAGUAGAAACCUUGGACACCAAUGCUCAGGUGAUGCCAAAGUACAAAAUCAGGUUUUCAGACACUUAAUACCUAGUUAGCAAUAACAACUGAUUCCAAUGGGAAGAUACCACAUGGUGCUUCGCCUUGUUAAUAACACCUGCUAGCAAGCCACAUCUUGAAUGACAAAGCUGAUCUGGGGGCCAAGUUUGGUGCUGUUUGCUCCAGGGGCCCGAACUGCAGGUCAGGACCUGCUCACAUGGCCUUUCCCUGUCACCAGCAGCUCACACUGGCUGACAGUGUGGAGUCCAGUGGCCUGGACUCCCUCCAGGCCAGACGCCUCCAGCCCUCACUGUGCAGUCAGGAGGCUUUUCUUCCCCUUUUCUAAGGGCUGCGGUCUCCCAAAGGCGCCCAGCUGGUGUGGGGUACGGCUGUGUGGGGGGAGAAUAUCAAAGCAAACAGCGGGGUUUAACGCAGACCAAAGCUUACUUGGAAAGGCAAUGUGGAAAACAGUGGGGAACCCCAAGGCUGCCGCUCCAACAAGGGGCUACUCUGACGUUUGAAAACCACUAGACAAAGAUGUGAGGUCAACUGUCUGACCAGGAGAUUGGGAAGGAAACAAAGCCGCUUACCCAAGUUGGAGCAUAACAUAAAGGAUGCUGAGGUUAGAUGGCAAUGUAGGAACCCACAUCUGGCAAGAAUAGAUGUGUAUGUUAUAAACACAGACUAUAAAAACUGUCAGCCUUUGAGGGAGUCACUGUCUUUGUAAUGUAGAAAUAACCAGUCUGUACAGACUUGGAAGUGGUAAAGCUAAAGCUUAGGAAAAUAUUUUUAAAAUAUUAACA
rnacentral:lncRNA from 1 species